rnacentral:rRNA from 1 species
UACCAGCACCCCGAGUGGUCGGGACGAUUAUUGGGCCUAAAGCAUCCGUAGCCGGCCUUACAAGUCCUCCGUUAAAUCCAACUGCUUAACAGGUGGGCUGCGGAAGAUACUAUAGAGCUAGGAGGCGGGAGAGGCAAGCGGUACUCGAUGGGUAGGGGUAAAAUCCGUUGAUCCAUUGAAGACCACCAGUGGCGAAGGCGGCUUGCCAGAACGCGCUCGACGGUGAGGGAUGAAAGCUGGGGGAGCAAACCGG